CAGUAGCCGCGGGAAUACAGAGGGUGCGAGCGUUAAUCGGAUUUACUGGGCGUAAAGCGUGCGUAGGCGGCUUUUUAAGUCGGAUGUGAAAUCCCUGAGCUUAACUUAGGAAUUGCAUUCGAUACUGGGAAGCUAGAGUAUGGGAGAGGAUGGUAGAAUUCCAGGUGUAGCGGUGAAAUGCGUAGAGAUCUGGAGGAAUACCGAUGGCGAAGGCAGCCAUCUGGCCUAAUACUGACGCUGAGGUACGAAAGCAUGGGGAGCAAACAGGAUUAGAUACCCCAGUAGUCCCUGUCUCUUAACA
rnacentral:rRNA from 1 species